GCCUGGCACCGUCGCCUCCUCUUCCUCUCUUCUUCCUAGAUGACGCCUCUGUGCACUUCUCGCAUGAUUUUGACCGGGCGCCUCACCUCAACAGCCAACGCCAACAGCAGCAUAGGGAUCUAUGGUGGGGAAGGAGCAGCUGAUGCGGCGUCGGCGGUGGCACGAGAGGAGCGGCGGCGGCGGCGGCGGCGAGCAGCGAAGAGGCGCCGCUCGGGCGAGACGACGGAGGCGGGAGCGGCUGCUCCGGGCCCCGAUCUUGGGAGGGUACGAGGCACGGAAGGGCGCCGUCGUCGUCGUUCGCCGUCGCAGGUCUUCCUUCUGCCCCUUUCGCUCCAUCUCUGAUUAGUCCUCUUCCCAUCUCUCUUGCUCGCCAGUGGCGACUCCUCCCCUGCCUCCUCACGUCGCCCUUGAGUUGGAGGAAACGAGGACAGCUUGCGGGCGAGCUCAAGCCGGUGAAAUAUAUGUGCACAGUGACUGAAUUUAUCAAGGACGAUGGAGCUUGUUGGCCAAUUUUUGUAGUGCUCAUUUGUUUGAUCCUCAUGCAACUACGGUUUGCUCGAGAUCUGUUCUGAAUAUGACUGUGGGCUGUUCAAUACUAUCGGUUUUCAGAACAAAUUUGGACGUUUUCAGUUAGAACAAUAUGCCUGUGCGCCCAGUUGGUAAUGUCCUGCUUUGUUUCUCUAGAUGGUUAGCUACAUGGCGGAGAGCGUUGUGGGCACUUCAUUUGGCAUCGUCUUUCAGGCUAAAUGCUUGGAAACUGGGGAGACGGUGGCCAUUAAGAAGGUACUGCAGCCAGGACCGACGGUCCAAGAACCAUUUGAUGAACCAUUCCAAUGUUGUUCUCCCUCAAGCACUGCUUCUUCUCAACCGCAAGUAGAGAUGAGCCGUUUCUAAACCUUGUCAUGGAGUAUGUCCUAAAGAUACUCUACCGUAUGCUUAAGAACUACAGUAAUGCCAAACAGGGGAUGCCACUUAUCUACGUCAAGCUUUACACCUAUCAGGGGGCUUGUGUAGGUUCAUACUGUUCCUGGAGUCUGCCACGGGGAUGUGAAGCGACAAAAUGUUUGGUGGGCAGGGCCUUUUGAUGGGAAUCAUGUUCAGUAUUCUUGUCCAGGUCUUGCUGUUUGUGGCCAUCACACUGCACACCAUCAGGCAAAAUAAGGCAACGAAGGUGUACAAGUAUACCACAAGGUCAAUGCUAUAUGUGUAUGUAUGUAUGGAUAGGUGCUACUGAAGUGAGAUUCCGAGAAAAUCUGCAUACAAGUAUAUCGCAAGCCGCCAUGUUGACAGGCUGGUAUCUCUUUGUUCCAUUCUAUUGACUUCCUGUGGCAUUAGUAUGAAGCCCUUUGAGCACAAACCUUUCGACUGAAGGACCGUCAUGGGAUUUGGAGUGCUCACUGGCAUCUCAAUUGGGCUUCUCAAUGAGAGUCUAGGUUUCAACUCUGUUGGUUUCUAUCAGGGCAAGUUGAGUGCAUUGGUUGGAUCUAGCUUCUUGAUAUUGCAGAGGACUCGUCAAAAGGCUAGCACUUAUUCUAUAAUGCAUGUCCCUACAUAUUAUAAAUUUUAUUUUGCAGAAGCAGCAUGGAAGACAACAAGCAAAAAUGUUAAUUAUGAGGACGGCGAAAGACUACAUAUCGUAGUUACCAAAAGUUGGGUGAUCAAAGCAAUCUACAUGAUGCAUCUCUGAGUAUGUAGCUUUGCUUACCGGAAGCUGGGUGAUCAAAGUAAUCUACAUGAUGCAUCUCUACCUAUGUAUCUUUGCUUAGAAUAAACUGAUCUCAUGAUUCUUUUAGCCUAUGAACCUACCAUCAGUGUAAUAUUGGUCUUUAAAUACUUCCAACUUGCAUGGUUUUCUCUCGCCCUUUGCGCCAUUGGCGCAACGGGUCAUCUAGUAUUCUUAAAUGAGGAUGGAAAGGAGACAAAA